UGAUAUGAUCGUACUAACAUUAAUACUUGUAUUUCAUUAGAGCUCUAAAGUUAAGUGUGUUAGACGAAGGUACUAGUACUAGGAUGGGGUGGCCUUCUUAGAAGUUCUCGGGUCGCAUCCC
rnacentral:rRNA from 1 species